GCCCGAGUGUCGGAAUUGGUAGACGAACUUGACUCAAAAUCAAGCGCUUAACAGCAUGCCGGUUCGAGCCCGGCCUCGGGUA
rnacentral:tRNA from 1 species